rnacentral:rRNA from 1 species
GACGAACGCUGGCGGCGUGCUUAACACAUGCAAGUCGAACGGAGCGAAUGAAAGCUUGCUUUUAUGAGCUUAGUGGCAAACGGGUGAGUAACACGUAGACAACCUGCCGACAGGAUGGGGACAACAUUCCGAAAGGAAUGCUAAUACCGAAUGAAGCGGAGGAGAGGCAUCUCUCCUCCGUGAAAGAUGGCCUCUAUUUAUAAGCUAUCACCUGUCGAUGGGUCUGCGUCUGAUUAGCUAGUUGGUGAGGUAACGGCUCACCAAGGCGACGAUCAGUAGCCGGUCUGAGAGGAUGAACGGCCACAUUGGGACUGAGACACGGCCCAGACUCCUACGGGAGGCAGCAGUGGGGAAUCUUCCGCAAUGGGCGCAAGCCUGACGGAGCAACGCCGCGUGAGUGAAGAAGGUCUUCGGAUCGUAAAGCUCUGUUGAUGGGGACGAAUGUACGGAGUGCGAAUAGUGCUCUGUAAUGACGGUACCAUCG